ensembl:misc_RNA Metazoa_SRP Metazoan signal recognition particle RNA
GCUGGGCACGGUUGGCGCAUGCCUGUAGUCCCAGCUAUUCUGGAGGCUGAGGUGGGAGGAUAGCUUGAGUCCAGGACUUCUGCGCUGUAGUGCGCUAUGCCAAUCGGGUGUCUGCACUAAGUUAGGCACGAAUAUGGUGACCUCCCAGGAUCGGGGGACCACCAGGUUGCCUAAGGAGGGGCGAACCGGCCCAGGUUGGAAACGGAGCAGGUCAAAACUCCCGAGCUGAUCCGUAGCGGGAUCGCGCCUAUGAAUAGCCACUGCACUCCAGCCUGGGCAACAUAGGGAGACCCCGUCUCUU